AUACGGAGGGUGCGAACGUUAAUCGGAAUUACUGGGCGUAAAGCGCGCGUAGGCGGUUUGUUAAGUGGGAUGUGAAAGCCCCGGGCUCAACCUGGGAAUUGCGUUCCAAACUGACAAACUAGAGUAUGGUAGAGGAAGGUAGAAUUCCCUGUGUAGCGGUGAAAUGCGUAGAUAUAGGGAGGAAUACCAGUGGCGAAGGCGGCCUUCUGGACCAAUACUGACGCUGAGGUGCGAAAGCGUGGGGAGCAAACAGGAUUAGAUACCCUAGUAGUCC
rnacentral:rRNA from 1 species